AAAAACUUAGUUAAAAUAUAACCUCAGCUUGUCAAGUUGAAAUAACUUAUUAAAGUAGUUUUUA
rnacentral:tRNA from 1 species